CGCCGAGGCCAAGCCAGGUGUUGAAGGCAUUGCACAACAGCAGAAGGAGCUGACUGCUAAAAGUCUAUGGAAGGUCUAUGGAAGGGUUUGCAGAGGUAUGGAUGAGCCGGCCGCGGUCUCAGACAAGCCCUAAGCUGAAUGUUGCUGACGGAUGGAGGAGCCAGGCACCAGUGCUGAGAGGAACGUGAUGACGACGUAGGACGGAUGGAUGCAUGGACGGACGGCGUAGGAAUUGUGAAAAGAAGGAGGACAUAAAUAACAGUAUUUAGGCUUAUAAAUUAUAUUGGCUUUUACCAUUUCUAUGUACAGAACCCUGCCUGUUU
ensembl:lncRNA